ensembl:lncRNA
CCUAGCCUGUCGUGUGCUACACAACACCUGUCUAAGUCAUGGCAUAGAGCUAGGAGAAGACGAAAUGCGCAUGGACCAAAAUGGCCACCCUCCCAUCCCCGCUGGCUGGAACACGCACAUCACUGCGCUUAGAAGAAGGGAGCUGAUUCACCAACUAUACCAACAGGUAAAUCAUGUUGAUAAAAAUAAAUGCACACGUUCACAUUUACUUCAGAAUGUUUUAUUUAGGCACGUUCAAAGAUCAGAAUAAAUGCACACAUGUUCACAUUUACUUCAGAAUGUUUUACUUCAAUUGUUUGCAUCCAAAGACAGAUUUUGGAUUUUUUGAUCCAGAUCAUCCCGCACUUCAACAGCAACAGCUACUGGUGCCGCAGGUGCUGCUUCUGGUGCCGCAGGUGCUGCUUCUGGUGCCGCAGGUGCUGCUUCUGCUGCUGCUCCUAUAUCGUUUGGACCAAUAAACGUGUUGAAUUACAACAGUGUUUCAAGUUUCAUUAUUCAAUGAGAAAAACGUACUGUCUCCCUCGACUGAGACUUACUCUGUCGUCUC